UGGGGGGGCCUAAUACAUGCAGUCGAGCGAGCGGAACCAGCAGAAUCACUUCGGUGAGGACACUGGGAAAGCGAGCGGCGGAUGGGUGAGUAACACGUGGGGAACCUGCCCUUAAGUCUGGGAUACCACUUGGAAACAGGUGCUAAUACCGGAUAAGAAAGCAGUUCGCAUGAACAGCUUUUAAAAGGCGGCGCAAGCUGUCGCUAAAGGAUGGACCCGUGGUGCAUUAGCUAGUUGGUAAGGUAACGGCCUACCAAGGCAGUGAUGCAUAGCCGAGUUGAGAGACUGAUCGGCCACAUUGGGACUGAGACACGGCCCAAACUCCUACGGGAGGCAGCAGUAGGGAAUCUUCCACAAUGGACGCAAGUCUGAUGGAGCAACGCCGCGUGAGUGAAGAAGGUUUUCGGACCGUAAAGCUCUGUUGUCGGUGAAGAAGGAUAGAGGUAGUAACUGGCCUUUAUUUGACGGUAAUCAACCAGAAAGUCACGGCUAACUACGUGCCAGCAGCCGCGGUAAUACGUAGGUGGCAAGCGUUGUCCGGAUUUAUUGGGCGUAAAGCGAGCGCAGGCGGAAGAAUAAGUCUGAUGUGAAAGCCCUCGGCUUAACCGAGGAAUUGCAUCGGAAACUGUUUUUCUUGAGUGCAGAAGAGGAGAGUAGAACUCCAUGUGUAGCGGUGGAAUGCGUAGAUAUAUGGAAGAAUACCAGUGGCGAAGGCGGCUCUCUGGUCUGCAACUGACGCUGAGGCUCGAAAGCAUGGGUAGCGAACAGGAUUAGAUACCCUGGUAGUCCAUGCCGUAAACGAUGAGUGCUAAGUGUUGGGAGGCUUCCACCUCUCAGUGCUGCAGCUAACGCAUUAAGCACUCCGCCUGGGGAGUACGACCGCAAGGUUGAAACUCAAAGGAAUUUGACGGGGGCCCGCACAAGCGGUGAGCAUGUGUUUAAAUUCGAAGCAACGCGAAGAACCUUACCAGGUCUGACAUCUA
rnacentral:rRNA from 1 species